rnacentral:rRNA from 1 species
UACGGGGGGAGCAAGCGUUGUUCGGAUUUACUGGGCGUAAAGGGCGCGUAGGCGGCCACCGCAAGUCGGUUGUGAAAUCUCCGGGCUUAACCCGGAAAGGUCAAUCGAUACUGCGGGGCUAGAGUGCAGAAGGGGCAACUGGAAUUCUCGGUGUAGCGGUGAAAUGCGUAGAUAUCGAGAGGAACACCUGCGGCGAAGGCGGGUGCUGGGCUGACACUGACGCUGAAGCGCGAAAGCUAGGGGAGCGAACGGG